rnacentral:lncRNA from 1 species
GCAGAUCAUCAUCUGCUUUUCGCUCAACCAACGGUCAGCUACCAAAUCAAUUAGAUACAUGUGGGAACACUAAUCACUCUUUAUACAUCCUACUACUUGUUCACUCCUCUGCAUUCUUCAUCAAAGCCAGAGGAGGAGAGCUAAACCUCAUCCUUCUUCUGCUUCCCAUCCCAACUCUCCCAAGUUCUUGGGCACUUCCCAAACUUCCAAGUUUGAUUCAAUAUUCAGUAAGUGCAAUUCUCAAGUUCAAAUUCUAUUCUGGGUUGCAUUUAUAUUUUUGAUUCUUUAUGAUGGUUGUGUGCAUGAUGCUAAUUGAUGAUUUGGGCAGAUGGGAUUCUUAUUGGUAAUGUUUGGUCUUAAUUAGAGCCAAUUGUUAUGCAAUUAAGUUAAUGUGGAAUUCUUGAAAGUACGUGGAGGUGAUGCAGAAGUUGAAUAUAGAUUCAGAUCUGUGCUCAAACUGUUGACAUAAUGAUCGACUCAAAUGGCAUUUUUCUCAGGGAAUUUUAGACAUAACAAAGACAUUGAGCUUUUUUUUAAUUCUGUUAAUAAUGUUAAGAUUAAGACUAGUUUGACUUGGUUCUGAUUCUGAUGCAUACCUUUAGGGAAUGCAGUGAUUGCUUUUCCUUCUUUUUUUUCUUGGUGAGAUUUGACCCUAAGGCCUAUCCUUCACCAUAAUUCAAAAAAUCAAGGACACUAUGUUUGCUGAUUUUCUCUUUCCAAAUCAUGCUGUCAGUUCUGCCUACUUACUUGUGGCACUGAUGCCUGCCUAAUGUUGCAAUGCACAUUUGAUUCUCUUAAUCACAGGAUUUGAAGCUUGAAUCAUGGCUGAAGAUCUAGAUAAACCACUGUUGGAUCCUGAGAAUUUCAAUAGAGAUGGUGUCGAUUUGGUAGGUUUAGUUGCAUUACGACAACCACAUUUGGAAUUCAUUCCCUACAAUAGCAUUUUAAGACACUUCGAAUAUAACAGGAACGCUUACCAUUGGAAGAAGUUUUCGAACAACUGAGGACAUCACCGCAAGGACUUUCAUCCGAAGAUGCUGAAGCCAGAUUGAAGAUUUUUGGCUUUAACAAGCUUGAAGAGAAGACGGUAAGCACCACGGUUCCUAAAUAUGUUUAUAAGUUCAGUUUUAGUGUUUAAGACAAGUAGAAUAGUCAAUAUCAGCUUAAAGCUAGAUUGACAGAGUAAUUGCUAUUAAAAGCCCCCUCAUUAAUUUCAAUGCAGGAGAACAAAUUUUUGAAGUUUCUUAGUUUCAUGUGGAACCCCUUGUCAUGGGUUAUGGAAGCUGCAGCAGUGAUGGCACUUGUCCUUGCUAAUGGUGGAGUAAGUAGAGUCUUACACUAAGUAUUCAUUUCCAUUUCAGGGCAAGUCUUACACUAAGUAUUCAUUUCCAUUUCAGGGCAAUGUAAAUUCUGGUUUAUAACUUUAUUCUGUGAUGAAAUGAUAUUUCAGGGCGAAGGUCCUGACUGGCAGGACUUUUUGGGGAUUAUUAUCCUGUUAAUAAUCAAUUCAACAAUUAGUUUCAUAGAGGAGAACAAUGCAGGGAAUGCUGCAUCAGCUCUUAUGGCUCGUUUAGCUCCGAAGACAAGGGUAUGCCCCUUUGGUUGAUGCAUUUGGCACAGAGGAUGUCACCUUUAAGCCCAUAAUAGCAGAUUAGCUCACAUUUCUUUCAUGCAGGUUCUCAGAGAUGGGCGCUGGCAAGAGCAAGAUGCAUCUAUUUUGGUACCAGGAGAUAUAAUCAGCAUAAAGCUGGGGGAUAUCGUUCCAGCUGAUGCUCGCCUACUUGAAGGAGACCCUUUAAAAAUUGACCAGGCAAGUGCUUGAAAAGCCAAUUUUGUUGUCUAACUAUCAGCAGUUAUAUAGCUGUCACUUUCUCCGGGUGACCUGUUUGUUGGCUCAGUGAUAUGAUCCACAGAAUGAAGUAAUGUUUUGUGGAAUUUGUUCCUGCAGUCAGCUCUUACAGGAGAGUCUCUACCUGUCACCAAGAGGACAGGAGAUGAAGUGUUUUCUGGUUCAACAUGUAAGCAGGGAGAGAUUGAAGCUGUAGUGAUAGCAACUGGGGUUCACUCCUUUUUCGGAAAAGCAGCACAUUUAGUUGACUCCACAGAGGUUGUUGGACAUUUCCAGCAGGUAAUUGAGUGCCUAACAUGCUCCUCCUGAUGUUAAUUCUCACAGUGACAUAGUUCAUAAGUUUGAAAUCAUGAGGUGACAUCAGUGACGCGGUUUUCUGCAGGUCCUUACCGCGAUUGGGAACUUCUGCAUUUGCUCUAUAGCUGUGGGAAUGAUUCUUGAAAUCAUUGUCAUGUUCCCCAUACAGCACCGCUCUUACAGGGAUGGGAUCAACAACCUUCUUGUUCUCUUAAUUGGAGGAAUACCGAUUGCUAUGCCAACAGUGUUAUCUGUGACACUUGCAAUUGGUUCUCAUAGACUCUCUCAACAGGUGCAUCUCUAUAUAGUUUAAGUCACAUAACAUUUUGGAAGUCAAAAAAUAUUUAUGCUCCCGCAUAUUAAAAGGGGUACUUUGGAUAUUCAAUGGAAGAAAAAGCCUCCAAUUUUGUGCUUUGUUCUGCAAACAAUAUAGCAUCAAUCCCACAUAUUCAGACUGACAAUGUUUGCAUACCUUUGUUUUUUCUUUAAUUCAGGGUGCCAUUACAAAAAGGAUGACGGCAAUUGAAGAAAUGGCGGGAAUGGAUGUCCUCUGCAGUGACAAAACUGGAACUCUCACCCUUAAUCGCCUCACUGUUGAUCGAAAUCUAGUCGAGGUAUGAAAGCUGACUCCAUAAGAAUUUCUUAAUUCAAACCAUGGAGGCAAAAGUUAAUAUUAAGUGUCAUUGAUAUAUCAUGUUUUGGCCAUAUGGUUUGGCUGAAUAACAUAAAACAUAUGCAUCUUUGCAGGUUUUCAACAAAGACAUAGACAAGGAUGCAGUUAUCUUGUUUGCAGCCAGAGCAGCAAGACUAGAGAAUCAGGAUGCUAUUGAUGCAGCCAUUGUCAAUAUGCUUGCUGAUCCAAAGGAGGUGGGGAUACAAUCCUGCUGUUUUUUUAUUUUUUUUAUUUUAUAUUUAUUCUGUGCUGGUUACUUAUGCAUAAAAAUAUUCUUUCAUCCAUAGGCAAGAGCAAACAUCACAGAAGUGCAUUUUCUACCUUUCAAUCCAGUGGACAAGCGUACUGCAAUUACAUACAUUGAUGCUGAUGGUAACUGGUAUCGGGCCAGCAAAGGAGCUCCGGAACAGGUACUGAUGUAUUCAGAGGGCAAGUACCUUAAAAUUCUGUGAUCCCCUGCAAACAGAAACGUAGUAAACAACACAACUAGGUUUACACUUUAGAAACAAUAGCUGAUCACUUAUGAGAACUAAUGGUGUAUGAGAAAUUCUUUUAUUGUUGCAAUGCCAAAACCUGAAUUUUUUUUCUUUUGUUUUUCUUUUCCAUUCUCAUCCUGAAAUCAGAUUCUAGAUCUAUGCCCCGAGAAAGAUGAGAUUGCUGGAAGAGUGCAUAACAUUAUUGACAAAUUUGCUGAAAGGGGAUUGCGGUCUCUUGGAGUUGCUUAUCAGGUAUGCCAUAGCUAUGCUCUAAUCCUUUUAGUGCGGGUGUGAGAGUUGUAAUGAACUUUAAAAAAAGGAAGAGUUUAAAUUAUCAGUUAGAAGAUAGAAAUCCAAAAUUUAGGUCACAACAGUUUUUCAGCACCAGAUGAAAUUUCUGACAUACUUCAACUCCCAUGUUAUGGUACUGCCAGGAAAUUCCAGAAAAAACUAAAGAAAGCCCUGGAGGUCCUUGGACAUUUUGUGGGUUGUUGCCCUUGUUUGAUCCUCCAAGGCAUGAUAGUGCUGAGACUAUUCGAAGAGCACUUAACCUUGGAGUCUGUGUGAAGAUGAUUACAGGUACAUACAUGUAUCAUCUUGGCCUUACAUAAAAAAUGUGAAUAUCAUCUUUGUUUCUUGAUUAAAACUGUAAAUCAUUUAGCAUAAAUGUCAAAGAUAGACACUGAUUCUUGAAUGCUUGUUCUCACAUUAGGUGAUCAGUUGGCAAUUGCAAAGGAGACAGGGCGACGACUUGGGAUGGGAACAAACAUGUACCCUUCCUCUUCAUUGUUGGGCCGUGACCGUGACAAAGAAGAACACGAAGCUCUUCCAGUGGAUGAGUUGAUUGAGAAGGCUGAUGGCUUUGCUGGAGUCUUCCCUGGUAAAUAAUCGAACACCUGUUUCACGAAAUACAUAAAUUCUCUCCCUAAGGCUCCCUAAUUCUUGAGAGACUUGAAAAUAUGAAAGACAGGUUACUGUUUGGUGGGGUGUGUGUGCAUGAAACAUUUGUAGCACAUAUUUGUUUCAUACAUAUUUCCAUCUCUGGAUCACUCACCUGCCUUAUCACUGCUUUAACUUUCAGAACACAAGUACGAAAUCGUAAAAAUUUUACAAGAAAAGAAGCAUGUGGUUGGAAUGACCGGAGAUGGUGUUAACGAUGCACCUGCUUUAAAGAAAGCAGACAUUGGUAUAGCAGUGGCAGAUGCCACAGAUGCUGCAAGAAGUGCUUCUGACAUAGUCUUAACUGAGCCUGGCUUAAGUGUGAUUGUCAGCGCUGUCCUGACCAGUAGAGCUAUAUUCCAAAGAAUGAAGAAUUAUACAGUGAGUAGUAAUCUUUUCCCUGCAUUCAAAUAAUGGUUCAUUUGUGUCAGUAGAAUACCAGGUAGAGAGCAGCAAAAUCGUAAAGCAGUGCUUACUUCGCCUUUUAAAGAGAAAUUCUGCAAUUUCUACUAUAUAGGAUUUUUACUUGCAUUUUUUGUUUUUAUUUGUAAUUUUAUUCUACGUUUCUACAUUGGUUUGAUGGUAAAACUGACUAGCCUACUUGCAUACACAGAUAUAUGCUGUCUCUAUAACCAUAAGGAUAGUGGUAAGUUUAUAUUCUCAUCAUCUCAAUAUUCAAGUAAUAUUACUACGUUUCAACUUUUCAUAAUGUUAAACUCAAUCAUGUUGCAGCUUGGUUUCGUGCUUCUUGCGUUGAUAUGGGAAUAUGACUUCCCACCUUUCAUGGUUCUGAUUAUAGCAAUACUCAAUGAUGGUAAUAUUUCAACUAGCUCUAGCUUUACUAUUUCUUCUUCUUGAUUAUCGAAAAGGAGUACAUGACUGUGCAUUAUUUUAAAUGCAGGAACCAUCAUGACGAUUUCCCAGGAUCGUGUAAAGCCCUCUCCAAAGCCUGACAGUUGGAAGCUUAAUGAGAUAUUUGCAACUGGCAUUGUCAUUGGCACAUAUCUUGCUUUGGUAACUGUAUUAUUUUACUGGGUUGUAGUCGGCACCGACUUCUUUGAGGUAUGAAACACAGAAAUGUUGCUUCUUGACUUUGUUUUCUGAGACCCUCUGCAACAUGAACAGCAGAAGAUACAUUAGCUUGGUUUACUUCCACAGUGCUUAUUGAUUUUAUAUGACUGCAGACCACCUUCCAUGUAAGAGAUUUAUCCAGCAACAGCGAGGAAAUUUCAUCUGCUAUAUAUCUGCAAGUUAGCAUCAUUAGCCAGGCUCUCAUAUUUGUUACAAGAAGCCAGGGAUGGUCAUUUCUUGAGAGGCCUGGAACUCUCUUGAUGUGCGCAUUUGUGCUGGCUCAACUGGUAUGACUUAUGCAAAUCAACUCUUAAAUAUAUGCAUUAAACUCGAUUUUCAAGGUAACAAAACCAAAGCUGAAUUACAUUUUCAUUUAUUGAAAAAAUAAAUAAAUAAAUUCUCUCAUGUUUAGGUGGCUACUUUGAUUGCUGUAUAUGCAAGAAUCAGCUUUGCUUAUAUCAGUGGCAUUGGAUGGGGAUGGGCUGGUGUCAUAUGGUUGUACAGUUUGAUUUUCUACAUUCCCCUGGAUAUCAUCAAAUUUGCAAUUCGCUACGGCUUGAGUGGAGAUGCCUGGAAUCUAUUGUUUGAUAGGAAGGUUUGUGCAAUGUUCUAAGUUCCAUUAAAAUUUGCUGCUAUCAUUUGUUUCUAUGAGGAACAAGCCCUGGCUUGAAAUGACAACUUCUGAUUUUUAUGUACUUUUUAUUUUUAACAGACGGCUUUCACUUCUAAGAAAGAUUAUGGGAAAGAAGAUAGGGCAGCCAAGUGGGUACUUUCUCAGAGAAGUUUACAAGGGUUGGCAGACAUGGAGAUCAAUAAGACCGGCAAGCGAUCUUCUUUGAUCGCAGAACAGGCCAGGCGGCGUGCUGAAAUAGCCAGGUAAUACAAACUGCCAUUUUCUGUUGCAUUUUUACAGGUUGGAUUUCAUCCCAUCUUGCUAAUAUGUAAUUGGUUAAAUGCCACAUUAAUUUCACAGGCUGGGAGAGAUACACACUCUGAGAGGACAUGUAGAAUCUGUAGUGAGGCUCAAGAAUCUGGACUUAGGUGUUAUUCAAUCAGCCCAUACUGUCUGAAGCCAAUACAUGGAAAUAGUAUCAUUCAAUUUUCCGGUGAAAAGAAACUCAUCAGCAGUUGCACAUGAUUGAUGUUGGGCAUCUGCAAAAGAAAUUGACCUUUGGUUACAACUUAAAAGAGUUUCUGGGGAUGGAAAUAGGUGAUCUAUGUAAUGCUUGUCAAUUCUUUGGGAGCUAAAAGUAAGGAAUGCAUUUUCCUAGUAUUUAUUUCUUGCAAAUUUUCAUAUGUACAAGGGGACCAACUGUUUUUGUGUAAUAAUUAGGAAACUUCAAACUAAUAAACCACCUCAAACAGGGGAAUUUUUCUCUUUUUUGGUGUUUUUUUGGGAUAACAUGUAUGGUUUGCUCUUGCAUAAGAGAAAUACACAUUGAAUUUUGUAGCCACUUCAAUGAAGAUUGUUGCUUCUUUUUUCGGUAAUGUGUCAAAGAUUGAACAUGAGUGAAAAUAUUCUGGGCUUUUUCUUUGGAC